rnacentral:rRNA from 1 species
GCCAGACUCCUACGGGAGGCAGCAGUGGGGAAUAUUGCACAAUGGGCGCAAGCCUGAUGCAGCCAUGCCGCGUGUGUGAAGAAGGCCUUCGGGUUGUAAAGCACUUUCAGCGGGGAGGAAGGCAAUAAGGUUAAUAACCUUGUUGAUUGACGUUACCCGCAGAAGAAGCACCGGCUAACUCCGUGCCAGCAGCCGCGGUAAUACGGAGGGUGCAAGCGCUAAUCGGAAUUACUGGGUGUAAAGCGCACGCAGGCGGUCUGGCAAGUCGGAUGUGAAAUCCCCGGGCUCAACCUGGGAACUGCAUUCGAAACUGGCAGGCUAGAGUCUUGUAGAGGGGGGUAGAAUUCCAGGUGUAGCGGUGAAAUGCGUAGAGAUCUGGAGGAAUACCGGUGGCGAAGGCGGCCCCCUGGACAAAGACUGACGCUCAGGUGCGAAAGCGUGGGGAGCAAACAGGAUUAGAUACCCCGGUAC